AUGGGGCGUCACCGUUUCAGGAGGCGCCCUCCGACCCCCUCCUCCUCCUCCUCCUCCUCUUCCUCCUCGUCGGAGCUCGACGACAUGCUGCCGGUGGGCGCGGAGGUGGAGGUGCGCAACGAGGACCCGGGCUUCGCCGGCUCCUUCUACGAGGCCACCGUCGCGGCCCACCUCCCCUCCUCCCCCUCCUCCUCCGACCGCGGCGGCAACAAAUGCUACACGGUGGUCUACUCCACGCUGGAGAGCGACGACGGCGAGCCCCUCCAGGAGGCCGCGGCGGCCGCCUCCGUGCGCCCCCGCCCCCCACGCGCCGCGCCGAGGCGGUUCGCGGUGCACGACAUGGUGGAGGCGCUGCACAGCGAGGGGUGGUGGGCCGGCGUCGUCUCCGCCGUCGCCCCGGCGCCUGCGGUGGCCGGAGGGGAUCUGCGGCGCCGGCCGAGGCGGGUGUACCAGGUCGCGUUCCCCACGUCGCGGGAGACGAUCGAGUUCCAGGAGGCGGACCUCCGGCCGCACCGCGAGUUCGUCGCCGGCCGCUGGGUCCCAGCUGCCAAGGCGGACAAUGCAUCUCCUUCUUUCAGCGAGGGAGACCAAGUUGAAGUGAGUCAGUCUGGAACGAACUUUGGCGAAUCCUGGAAUCCAGCUAGUGUUCUUAAAGUGAUUGGUGCUACAAAUUUCUUAGUAAAGUACAUGCACAAUGGGAAAGACGGGAAAUCAGCUACCGAGAUUCUGGAUUCUCAGUAUAUCCGGCCAGCACGGUCCAUCACCCGUAUUGACUCAAAGUACAGAUUUUCUCCUUCUUCUCAUGUUGAGGUCCUUCAUGAAGAUAGCUGGUGGCCUGGUGUUAUUCUGAAGGUCUUAGGUACUGGAAUCGACAAGAAGUAUGUAGUAAUGUUGGACUGUCACAAGACAGAUCUUGAUGAGAUCGAUAUGGAUGCGCUGAGGGUUGAAAUUACGCAGCUCAGGCCACUGUGUGACUGGGACGGUGAAAAAUGGGUACCCUGCUUGAAGAAGGAAUCUGCAAAAAGGCCAAUUUCCGCUGCCUUGGAUAAUGACUCGGAUAAAAUCAGUGACGAACCUGGUUCUCAUGUGGACAAAAAGAAGUUGAAGAAUGCGGAUGUGAUACCAGAACAAAUUUCUCCCCUUUUGUCUGUUGGUAAAGAAAACAUUGAAAUUACUCGUAAGCAAGGAAAUGCAGUAUUGGCACCAAGGUCUGAGUUGUCACCUCCUUCACUGCCACCAAUGUCAUCAUUUGGCCGUCUGAGUUCUUCAUCUUCACCUGCUACAAGUUGUCAUCUUGCACAAUCAUCUUCUCACAUUCAGGCUUCGUUGUUUGGAGCGUUUGGACAAUCAAGGCCUAUUCCACAGGGCCUGCCAUUAGGAACGCGGUCGCUUAUUAGCUCAUUUUUUACUGGUAUUGAAGGGUCAAAAAGAGUAUUAAGCGAUCCGGAUAAGCAGUCCACUGCUGGAACUGGGACUGAACCGUUCAGACAAAUGGAGGGAUGUGUUUCUUUACAAACAGCAGUGCCUGUAGGGGAGAAGCCUGAAACUCCAAUGGAAAGGAUAGAUGCUAAAGCCAUUGAAGAAGGCAGCAAUGUUGUCUCUGUCUCUGAAGACCGUUCACAAUCACACCAAGGUAAUGCAACACAUGAUUCUUGCUGUCCUUUGUCUGCGGAAUAUGUGGCUGUGCAUGAGAGUAUCAUGCGCACAAGUGGCCAGCUUUCAGAAUCCUCGGCAAUCCAGCAUCUUCCAAUUGUGAAGACCUCCCCAUUGUGGGCACAGCUUGAGGCACUGGAGAUAUUCAGGACAACGCCACAGCGGCCAAAUCUCCAUCAGUUUCAGCAGCACGUUCCAGAGCUCCAUGAAGGACUGGCACUAGGUCUGAUGAUCUCUUUUGCUGAUCUGGCAGAAAGCAUAAACAGGCUAGGUGUUCAGGACGACAAUGAGCUCCUCGAGCGGAAGAUGGAGUGCCUGGCUUAUCUCGAGGCAAGUGGUUUCGAUGUCGGGGACCUGAGAUCGCGCGUGGAAGCUUUAAUUCGCAUGAAAAAGCUGGAGGAGGAGAUUGCUCGCGAAGAAGCCGACGACCGAGAACUGGGCACGCAACUUCGCGCCCUGGCUAUGGCUGUCCAUCACCUUGAACUGCAUGCCUAUCUUGUGCGCAAUGUGAUAAGGUCUACCGUCGCACGGAGGAUGAACAAUGCCAUGGAGAUCUCGAGGCUCAAGGCAGAAGCGAACAAUCUAUCCACCGCAAUGCCACGGUGA
rnacentral:rRNA from 1 species